ACUCAAAUGAAUUGACGGGGGCCCGCACAAGCAGCGGAGCGUGCGGUUUAAUUCGAUGGUACGCGAAGAACCUUACCCAGGCUUGACAUGCAUGUGGUACCAAACCGAAAGGUGAGGGACUCGCAAGGGAGCAUGCACAGGUGUUGCACGGCUGUCGUCAGCUCGUGUCGUGAGAUGUUGGGUUAAGUCCCGCAACGAGCGCAACCCUCGGGGUCUGUUGUAUCUCUCAGACCCGACUGCCGAGAGAAACUCGGAGGAAGGUGGGGAUGACGUCAAGUCAGCGUGGCCCUUACGCCUGGGGCUACACGCACGCUACAAUGACCGGUCACAGCGAGAUGCGACGUCGCAAGGCGAAGCUAAUCUCUUAAAACCGGCCUCAGUUCAGAUCGGAGGCUGCAACUCGCCUCCGUGAAGUCGGAGUUGCUAGUAACCGGGGGUCAGCACACCCCGGUGAAUAUGUUCCCGGGCCUUGUACACACCGCCCGU
rnacentral:rRNA from 1 species